ACCCAGUAUCAUGGCUGCCCAGAGCUGCAUGGGGCUCUCGGAAAACGUGACACGGAGUACUAAAGAGCCCCAGUUAUACGGUGAACCUGCUUAAAUGAACAGACGCAUCGCUGAAUAGCUUUCACUGCAGUGGCUCUGGCCUCCCUGCUGAUUGGGCCGACAGCUCGAUCCUCAAGAAGGUCAAGUAAAAUGGAACUCAAGUCAUUAUGUGCCAUUGAAGCAAUUACACGCUGCUGACUCAGGGGCAUUGAUAAUCAGCAGUCUGGGUGCUGAUAGUGGUUGGUGGUGGCUGAGGGAAGGAUGGAGGGAGUUGCAACUCCAAUUUGUUCCAGUCUUAGCCUGUUUCAAUAAGUGCCUCUCUAAUGCUGUUAUACGAGGAUGAAAUAUGCCUCAUAAUGCUUUGCAGGUGAUACAAAGCAGAGAUGGAUUUCCACAGGAGUGUGGGGAAAAUAAUCUCAAAUUCUAGAUAACCACAUAUUAAUAAGGCUCUGAAAACAGACAAUACUGUGAGGCAAAGCCCCUGGGACUGAAGGAGAUGCGAGGUGUUCUCAUUAAAGAGGCAAGAGCAGAUGUAUGCACACACCAAUUCGGGGGACAGGAAACCGGAGCCCGUUACAGCUAGAAAAGUUUGAAUAAAGCAAACUGUAUUUAAAUUAAGAAAGCAAUAACUGACCAGCUCCCUGUGGGGUUUCCCUGUCGCUCUUCCUAUCACCUAGGUCCCUGUGUGACUUUGCUGCAAUUUCUCAGUGGUCAUGUUUUCCCUCAGACUCAUUUUCUCUACUUAUCAACCUUAUGAAAAAAUCAUUUUUUUUCUGUAAAGAUCCUACUUAUCUCCCACACACCCUCCCCCACUGUCUGUCUCUCUCUCUCUCUCCCACAACCCCCCCUCCUUUGUUAAUCUCUCCUUUCUCUGUCCUCAGCUCCAUUUUUACCACCUUUGUCUCUUUUUUCAUUUUCCCAAGCAAUGUCCUAUGCUUUCCACCAACUCUCCCCACUUCCCUCUAUCCCCUCAGCUCACCCUGUGCUCUCUUCUCUCUCCACUCAGCUCCUUCCUACCUCUCUCCCCUCUGCACUCCCCGUGUGUCCCCUCAAUGCCCCCAUGCUGCCCUUCCAUCCCCUCAGCCCCUGGUGUUCCCCCUCUAUCCCCUCAACUCUUCCCAGAGCAGUUAUGAGACCUACGCUGUAACAGGCAUUAAGAGGAGUUGAUCCCUUGCUGCCGGUUCUGAACCUGGCUCGCUGCCAUCUUUUAAUCAUGAACCUGGCUGCUCUGCCAUGCAGGGGAGGGAGCUGUCUGAACCCCCUGGCCCCACUGCAUGGGGCUGGUCACAGCCCUGGAUCCACAGGGCUGAGAGGAGGGCUUCGCACAAGUGGGAGAGGGGUGGGCAGAGCGCUGGCUCCAUUAGCCUGCACACUGGAGCCCGUUCAGAAAGGGCAGUAGUCGGUGACAAUAAGAGGGCAGGCAAGUGCUGCCCCUCUGGAGCAAGGGGGAA